GGAUGCAAGGGCAAUCCAGCUGUGACAUCAACCCCAUUGAUCGCCAGGACUGAUUUGGCUGAUCUGGCUGGCUAGGCGGGGGUCCCCUUCCUUCCUCACCACGUGUGUCCCUCCCAAAGCUGUGCACUCAAAGGGGAGGAUCUUCCCAGCUAGAGGAAGACCAGUCUCGGUCAAGGGUAUACGAGUAGCUGUGCUCCCCUGCUGGAACCUCCAAACAAGCUCUCAAAAUAACAUGCUGGACACCAUAAAUAUAUAUAGUCUUUAUCACAUAUUAAUAUUCACCAAUAAUUUUUCAUGAUAAUUAAU
rnacentral:snRNA from 1 species